rnacentral:tRNA from 1 species
UGGCGGAUCGUCUAAUGGCAGGACAACGGUUUUUGGUGCCGUACGUCUAGGUUCGAAUCCUAGUCCGCCAGCCA